AUUGACUUAGCGGCGGACGGGUGAGUAACGCGUGGGUAACCUGCCUUACACUGGGGGAUAACAGUUAGAAAUGACUGCUAAUACCGCAUAAGCGCACAGGGCCGCAUGGUCCGGUGUGAAAAACUCCGGUGGUGUAAGAUGGACCCGCGUCUGAUUAGGUAGUUGGUGGGGUAACGGCCCACCAAGCCGACGAUCAGUAGCCGACCUGAGAGGGUGACCGGCCACAUUGGGACUGAGACACGGCCCAAACUCCUACGGGAGGCAGCAUG
rnacentral:rRNA from 1 species